rnacentral:rRNA from 1 species
UACGGAGGGGGCUAGCGUUGUUCGGAAUUACUGGGCGUAAAGCGCACGUAGGCGGCUUUGUAAGUUAGAGGUGAAGGCCUGGUGCUCAACACCAGAACUGCCUUUAAGACUGCAUCGCUUGAAUCAUGGAGAGGCGGGUGGAAUUCCGAGUGUAGAGGUGAAAUUCGUAGAUAUUCGGAAGAACACCAGUGGCGAAGGCGGCCCGCUGGACAUGUAUUGACGCUGAGGUGCGAAAGCGUGGGGAGCAAACAGG